GGACUCCCUUCUCUACUUUCUAUUAACUCAACUUGCUCAAGAGAUCGUCUCGUGGCCUCGGAAGACUCUUCCCGUUCAGGCGAACGGCUCCCGAUGCUGAAGAAGGUUUUGAAAGGUUUCUAAAGAAUUCAAGCUAAAAUGAUGGCAUCAUAUAAAUCAUCAGGUUUUGAUGCCCUUCUUAGAGAGCAGGUUGUGAAAGGUUUCUUCAAGGGUUUUGCAUUCAAACUCAGCAAGGCUUUGCAAGAGGGUUAAGUGAUGGGUUAUCUAAGAUUGUCAAAUCCAAAGGAAUCUCAGGUUCUAAUUCAAGUUAUUCCCAGCACUCAUUUCGAAAAGACAAGGCUCUUUCUUUCUUGUUAUAAUUUUGAUCCAAAAUCCUUCAGAUUUAUUUCUAGGUAAGGUCUUUUCACUUUUAAUUUUGUAAUAUUCAGAUUCAUUUCUAGGAAUGCUAUUCAAAAUAAUUUUAAAGCUGUAACUGUCCAUGUGUCAAUUGGUCUUUAAGCAUUGAAUUUCCAAAUUAGUAAAAAUUGAAGCUCUUUCUUCAAUGUUCUUGUUACUAUAAGAGUUAUACAGUAGGAUUAAAAUUUUCCUCUCUGUUUCAUCGCAGUAAAUUGUUUGGACAUUAUUUUAAAUUAUCUGAUUAAUUUAUACUUCACACUUCAUUUUGCUAUUUGAAGAUAACUUUAUUUUCUACAAACAGCUCCUUAUAAUAUACUUCGUUGUAUGUUUUAUGUUGUAAUAACAUUUUAAUGCACUUCUAAUGUUAAAUUAAAUUUCUACAAACUGUUUGUGCUUACAAUUUAGAGAUGGCACCCUUUUUAAAUUUGAUUAUUAUGAUUUUGUUGCAAACUCAUUAUUGGGUUUACAAUAAAUAAUAGAUUCUAGAUUGUCGACAGUUUAGAAAUUGAGUACGGGAUAGAAAGAGACAGUAAACUUAACUGAAGAGAGGCUUGCAACAUUUCAUUUCCUCAUAUUUAAUUCCUUAAAAAAUAUACUAUUUAUAGAAACAAGACUUAAGGACUCAUAUACUAUCUAUUAACUCUUAACACUCAUGAUUUGGCUAUAAAUUACAAUUACUUUCGGAGAUAUGUUAAUAUAAUCCCAAUUUCAUUUAAGUUAUUGAACCUAAUGGAUUUAUUUUGCAAAAAAUUAUGCAACAAUCAAAUUUCUUUAAACUGACUGGUUGACGGGUUAAUGGAACAUAGUAGUUAAUGGAACAUAGUCAUGCUCUUUGAGAUUUGGGUUGUCGUAUAAAUGAAGGUUAUUAACAGAUAGUUUUAUUAAUAUAUAAAUUUUGGGUGUUAAUUCAGUAACUGUACAUGUGAACGAGAUCCAACUUUUCUA